rnacentral:lncRNA from 1 species
AGAUUUUAAUAUAUUGUAUUCAUAUCUACCAUAUUUACAUUAUUAUGAUAAAAGUAUAUAUAUAAAAAAAGUAAGUAAUAUUUUUAACGUUUUAUAUUCCUAUUUUGAAAAGUUUGAUGAAAAUAAAAAAAAAAAAAAAAAAAUAAAAAAAAUAAAAAAUUGCAUUACAAAAUACAUAUAUUCAAAAAAAUGAUUAAAAAAAUGUAUAAAUUAAAAGAAAAACAUGUCGAAAAUAAAUUAUUGCAAAUUUGUUUUAAUAGUAUGUAUGAUGCAGUACUACAUGUAGGGGAAAUAGAAAAAGAUAAAGAUAAAGACUUACGGAGGGAUAAAGAAUGUGACAACUGGUUGAGUUCGUUUGGUAGUAAUUGUAGUAACGGUAGUGAUGAAAACAUAAGCAGUAAACUGCCAAGUAAAGUAAAUCAAAACGAUUUAGUCGUAAAUAGCGCCAUUUGUAACAACAACAAAAAAAAUAAAACACGAUCAUGUAAUGAAUGGUCUUGGUCCAGUAAAAACACAAAACAAAAAUACGAUGAUAAUACAUAUAAAAAUAAACAUAAUCAAUAUGAUACAGGUAAUUCAAACCAGUGCACACUCACACCAACAUGUCAUCGUAUUAAUUGUAUACAUAACUACCUGAAUAUGUUAAUAGAGAAUAAAAUUAUAAACAUUUUUUAUUUGUAUGAUUCUAAAUUAAAUUCAACCAUAAGAACGAAAAAUAUUUUAAAUUUUUUUGAUAUUAACAUAAUAAUUAAUAAUAAUAUAUCUUUUUAUAAACAUCAAAUUUUUAAUUUAUUUUUUUACUUAUAUACACAUUCGUGUGUUAAUAAAGCACUUAAUUAUAUACAACCCAAAAUACUAUGGGAUGUGGACUCUUCUAAUACUUCCGAAAUUAUAAAUGAUAGCUCAACACAUAAUAAAACAAAAAAAAAAGUAGAUGAUUUAGAAGAUUACAUGCAACAUAAUAACCUGAUAAAAAAAUUGAAAAAAAAUAAUGAACAUAUGACAAACAACAAAACUGUCCUAAACGAUGUAAAUAUUCAAAAGUUGCUCAUAUUUGAUUAUAAAAAUGAAAAUAAAAAAAAAAAAAAUAAAAAAAAAGUUCAUACAUCCCCUUCGUAUACAAAUAUUGAAAAACAAUUAGAUAAAAAUAUAGAUAACUUUAUAAAUAAGUUAUUAGCAAGUUAUAAUCGUAAUGAUGAUUGUAAUUACAAUAAUAAUAUAUCUGCCGAUGAAAGUAGUAAUAAAAUUUAUGAUAAUAAAUUAUUUCAUC